rnacentral:misc_RNA from 1 species
AAGUCGUAACAAGGUUUCCGUAGGUGAACCUGCGGAAGGAUCAUUAAAGAGUCGCCCUGCACCCCUCCCGGGGGACGAGGGCCACGGGUGAGGCCCGGGAUUAAACCCCGGGUCCCCGGUCCUCUUCCACCCUGUCGUCUACCUUCUACGUUGCUUUGGCGGGCCUGGGUUCUGGUCCCCCGGGGCAGCCCCUGCCCCGGGGCCCGGGACCCCGGUCCCGAGCCGGCAGCAGCGCCCGGCCAGAGCACCCCACCAUUCCUCGAUUUUUUUCCAUGCGGUCUGAGCGAAACACGAAUAAAAUAAA